CCUACGGGUGGCAGCAGUAGGGAAUCUUUCACAAUGGGCGAAAGCCUGAUGGAGCAACGCCGCGUGCAGGAUGAAGGCCUUCGGGUUGUAAACUGCUUUUAUAAGCGAGAAAUAUGACGGUAACUUACGAAUAAGCAUCGGCUAACUACGUGCCAGCAGCCGCGGUCAUACGUAGGAUCCGAGCAUUAUCCGGAGUGACUGGGUGUAAAGAGUUGCGUAGGGGGGAAAAUAAAUAGCUAGUGAAACCUGGUGGCUCAACCAUUCAGACUAUUAGCGAAACUGUUAAGCUCGAGAGCGGUAGGGGUAAGUGGAAUUUCUAGUGUAGGAGUGAAAUCCGUAGAGAUUAGGAGGAACACCAGUGGCGUAGGCGGGUUACUGGACCGGUUCUGACACUGAGGCACGAAAGCGUAGGGAGCAAACGGGAUUAGAUACCCGAGUAGUC
rnacentral:rRNA from 1 species